rnacentral:rRNA from 1 species
CCUACGGGAGGCAGCAGUGAGUAAUAUUGGUCAAUGGACGAGAGUCUGACCCAGCCAAGUCGCGUGAAGGAUGACUGCCCUAUGGGUUGUAAACUUCUUUUAUAUGGGAAUAAAAUGUUCCACGUGUGGGAUUUUGUAUGUACCUUAUGAAUAAGGAUCGGCCCACUCCGUUCCAGCAGCCGCGGUAAUACGGAGGAUCCGAGCGUUAACCGGAUUUAUUGGGUUUAAAGGGAGCGUAGGUGGAUUGUUAAGUCAGUUGUGAAAGUUUGUGGCUCAACCGUAAAAUUGCAGUUGAAACUGGCAGUCUGGAGUGUAGUAGAGGUGGGCGGAAUUCGUGGUGUAGCGGUGAAAUGCGUAGAUAUCACGAAGAACUCCGAUUGCGAAGGCAGCUCACUGGACUGCAACUGACACUGAGGCUCGAAAGUGUGGGUAUCAAACAGGAUUAGAUACCCUUGUAGUC